CCUUCCAUUGCAUCCAAAACCAGCUUUGCAGGAUCCGAGGAAAGUCCCAAAGCAAUAGAUACCUCAUUCUUCAUCUUCUCAUCAUGUUUACAACGCUUAUUUAAUAAAAUUUGCAAUGCCUUUCCAUCCAUUUUCACUGAAAAAUGUAGGUUAGCAUCCAUAGAAUAAUCUACGGUCUCCGACUUCACACGGGCAUUACAAGCAUCAGCAACUUGUUUCUCCUUCAACUCAAACUCCUUAAUUCGCUCCAAGCACUUCUUAUUUUCCAUUUCAACUUCCCGUAACCUCUCUUCUAGU